rnacentral:rRNA from 1 species
GAGUUUGAUCAUGGCUCAGAAUCAACGCUGGCGGCGUGCCUAACACAUGCAAGUCGAACGAGAAAGGGACUUCGGUCCUGAGUAGAGUGGCGCACGGGUGAGUAACACGUGACUAACCUACCUUUGAGUGGGGGAUAACCUAGGGAAACCUGGGCUAAUACCGCAUAAUACCUACGGGUCAAAGCGAGCAAUCGCGCUUUAAGAGGGGGUCGCGGCAGAUUAGCUAGUUGGUGAGGUAAUGGCUCACCAAGGCGAUGAUCUGUACCCGGCCUGAGAGGGCGCACGGACACACUGGAACUGAAACACGGUCCAGACUCCUACGGGAGGCAGCAGUGGGGAAUUUUGCGCAAUGGGGGAAACCCUGACGCAGCAACGCCGCGUGGAGGAUGAAGUCUCUUGGGACGUAAACUCCUUUCGAUAGGGACGAUAAUGACGGUACCUAUAGAAGAAGCCCCGGCUAACUUCGUGCCAGCAGCCGCGGUAAUACG